CUUAACAGCAAUACUAAUUAAGCCAAUCAAAGCACGAUGCAUAUGCACUUAGUAUGUGCAUAUGUGUACACAAUAUGUAUAUGUACAUAGUUAUAACGUCAACUAAGUAUGUAUGUACUAAAACAAGUCAAGUAAACUAAAACCGUAAUCAUACUAGGCAGAGUCGAUAAUCUGUGUGAUGAAGGAAUUGAAAGUCUGGGCGGUUAACUGUAUUCUAUCAGAUACUGUUUUUCUCUUAUGCUAUUAAUAAUAUUUAUUUUAAUAAAUAUUACACACAUUAUAUGUACUGCUGCGCUGCAAUAUGUAUGUAUGUAUAUGAGUACAUAUUUACACAUUCAUAUUAUGUACACACAUGCCUGCAUACUAGUACUCAAUUUAUACAUUACACUCUACACGCCACUGCCCCUAAUAAUACCCGCUCUGCUAAACUUGUUUGUAAUUUUAUUUUUCGGAUCUUUAUAAUACUCUUUACUUGGUACUGUUUCUUUUAGCACCAAUUCUUUUAGAUCUUUUCUUUACGUUCAUACGUCCAAAGUGCGACGUACUCUCAUAGCAAACGGAUGGUCAAGCGAAGCAACUCGUACAAAAGAAAAACAAACACACGCUGGACGUGCAGUAUACUCGUACAAAGAAAUUGUUUCGACCCAUAUGAUUCACACACACUGGAAUCGGGGAACAAAGUAACGGGAAAAAAAGAAAGCGAAGGCUGCUUCAGCGGAGACUUCCUUUGGCACUCCAUGGAAGGUAAGAACCAGCGUUGAUGGACUUAAGUAAAUGGGUAUUGCAUGAGGAAGAAGGGGAAGUGUAUUGAGAAGAAGUCAAACACACUCUUGGAGGUCAAAAAGAGCAUAUACAUACAUAUGUACACUAAUCGACUGAUAAAUCAACAGGGAGUAUAUUAUGGAAAGAUAGCGACUACAAUAAAUGUUUAUAACUAUACAAAUUCUGGUUUAUUUUUACAUUUUAAAUGUCUGCCAACGCAAAUUAAACAAAUGCCCAGGUUUCUAAAGAAAAAUUUUAGAAGCUACAAAGGCAAUGGUUACAUAUCAGUCACGGACCAUCACAACAAAACCUAUGAUAUGGUGACGAGGUAAUGCAGAACCAUCUAUCUUUGGACUGGGUCACUGUGACGAUUCGCCGGCGAUAUAUGCACAUAUGUAUGUAUGUACAUUUCCAAAGUUUUCACCACAUGGCUAAUAUCAGGCUAAAUCUUAACGUGGAAGUCCAUGGCGCCAACAUUUUUGCAGCUAAUGUUUGAAGAGGCGGUUCAUAGCAUCUUCUUUAACGGCACUCCCCGUAAAAAAAUUCGAACGAGAAACAAGGUUGUUCUUAUUAAAAGAGCAAACAAAUGCCUUAAGCACUAUCCAGCUCAUCGCGUGCUCCUUUAACUCUAUGUUUAUGAUAUCAGAAGCCUUAUGAUCUGCAUCUAUAAUUGCAGCACGGUUCUUUGGGCUCAAACUCACAGAGACGGAAGAAGAAGCUGGCAAGUGACAAAGGCCCUGUGAGGUUGACUAUGGCUAAUAUAGAAUCACAUAUUUUCCAGGAAAACCUUAAUGUUCUAAACUGGAUAUAUUUAAUGAUUAGAAAUGGUAA